GAUGAACGCUGGCGGCGUGCCUAAUACAUGCAAGUCGAGCGAAUGGAUUAAGAGCUUGCUCUUAUGAAGUUAGCGGCGGACGGGUGAGUAACACGUGGGUAACCUGCCCAUAAGACUGGGAUAACUCCGGGAAACCGGGGCUAAUACCGGAUAAUAUUUUGAACUGCAUGGUUCAAAAUUGAAAGGCGGCUUCGGCUGUCACUUAUGGAUGGACCCGCGUCGCAUUAGCUAGUUGGUGAGGUAACGGCUCACCAAGGCAACGAUGCGUAGCCGACCUGAGAGGGUGAUGGGCCACACUGGGACUGAGACACGGCCCAGACUCCUACGGGAGGCAGCAGUAGGGAAUCUUCCGCAAUGGACGAAAGUCUGACGGAGCAACGCCGCGUGAGUGAUGAAGGCUUUCGGGUCGUAAAACUCUGUUGUUAGGGAAGAACAAGUGCUAGUUGAAUAAGCUGGUACCUUGACGGUACCUAACCAGAAAGCCACGGCUAACUACGUGCCAGCAGCCGCCGUAA
rnacentral:rRNA from 1 species